rnacentral:rRNA from 1 species
GAUGAACGCUGGCGGCGUGCCUAAUACAUGCAAGUCGAACGGAGUCCAGCCUUAGAGACCUUCGGGUCAAAGAGGGGAAGACUGAGUGGCGGACGGGUGAGUAACACGUGGGCAACCUGGCUCAUAGAGGGGGAUAACAGAGAGAAAUUUCUGCCAAUACCGCAUAAGCACACACUGCCGCAUGGCAGAGUGUGAAAAGAGAAUCGCUAUGAGAUGGACCCGCGUCUGAUUAGCCAGUUGGCAGGGUAAGAGCCUACCAAAGCGACGAUCAGUAGCCGAUUUGAGAGGAUGAACGGCCACAUUGGGACUGGGACACGGCCCAAACUCCUACGGGAAGCAGCAGUGGGGGAUAUUGCACAAUGGGGGGAACCCUGAUGCAGCGACGCCGCGUGAGUGAAGAAGUAUUUCGGUAUGUAAAGCUCUAUCAGCAGGGAAGAUAAUGACAGUACCUGAAUAAGAAGCCCCGGCUAACUACGUG